GACGUAGGGCGCGAGCGUUUGUCCGGAUUUAUUGGGCGUAAAGAGCUCGUAGGCGGCUUGUCGCGUCGAAUGUGAAAUCUCAGGGCUCAACUCUGACAUUGCAUUCGAUACGGGCAGGCUAGAGUUCGGUAGGGGAGACUGGAAUUCCUGGUGUAGCGGUGAAAUGCGCAGAUAUCAGGAGGAACACCGGUGGCGAAGGCGGGUCUCUGGGGCCGAUACUGACGUGAGGAGCGAAAGCGUGGGGAGCGAACAGG
rnacentral:rRNA from 1 species